GAUGAACGCUGGCGGCGUGCUUAACACAUGCAAGUCGAACGGACAGACCAUGCUUUUGUGGGUCGCUCGAUUGCCGAACGCGGGAGUAUAACGUGUGUAUAACCUCCCUGUCUUUCGGAUAUCACCACGGAAAUGCGGCUCAUACCCGAUAGGAGCUCCUGCUGCAUGGGGGGGGUUGGUGAGUGUGGGCCGUUGGGGAUGGAUUGGCGGCUUAUCAGCCGGUUGGUGGGGUAGUGGAUUACCAAGGGUUAGACGGGUAGGCGGCCUGAGAGGGUGACCGGGGACAUUGGUACUGAGGGACGGCCCAGACUCGUACGGUAGGCAGCGGUGGGGAAUAUUGCGGAAUGGGGGGAAGCCUGAUGCAGCAACGCCGCGUGCGGGAUGACGGGUUUCGGGUGGUAAACCACUUUGGAAUGUGACGAAGCGUGAGUGACGGUAAUGGGUAAAGAAGCAACGGCUAACUACGUG
rnacentral:rRNA from 1 species